GACGAACGCUGGCGGCGUGCUUAACACAUGCAAGUCGAACGGAAAGGCCCUGCUUUUGUGGGGUGCUCGAGUGGCGAACGGGUGAGUAACACGUGAGUAACCUGCCCUUGACUUUGGGAUAACUUCAGGAAACUGGGCUAAUACCGGAAAGGAGCUCCUGCUUCAUGGUGGGGGGUGGAAAGUUUCGGCGGCUGGGGAUGGACUCGCGGCUUAUCAGCUUGUUGGUGGGGUAGUGGCUUACCAAGGCCUUGACGGGUAGCCGGCCUGAGAGGGUGACCGGCCACAUUGGGACUGAGAUACGGCCCAGACUCCUACGGGAGGCAGCAGUGGGGAAUAUUGCACAAUGGGCGGAAGCCUGAUGCAGCAACGCCGCGUGCGGGAUGACGGCCUUCGGGUUGUAAACCGCUUUCGCCUGUGACGAAGCGUGAGUGACGGUAAUGGGUAAAGAAGCACCGGCUAACUACGUG
rnacentral:rRNA from 1 species